UCUCUCUCGUGUCUGUCUCACAUCUCUGUCACAUCUCUCUGUCUAUAACUCGGCCCAAUUUCAAUUAGGGGUCCAAUUGAACCCCAAAUUGGAUGAAUUUUCAAUUAAUCAAGCUCCAGCUUCGAGAAUGCCUAAUUUCUUGACCAUGCUUUAUUUAUUUCGAUUGGGUUUUGUUUAUUUGUAAUUAGGGUUCCUUCUUUGUUCAAAUUUUAUAUCUGGGUUUUUCAUUUUUGAACAGAUCUGGAGGUUUGGAGGCUUCAAGAGGUUUCAGCGAGCUUGAAGAGGACCAGAGCAAUUCUUUUUUUUGCUAAGGGAUUGCAUGGUUUUGUUGUACCAGACAAUUCUUUUCUUUGCUGAGGGAUUUGGGCUUUUUUACAAUGCCUCAAACUAUAUCUGAAGCCAAGCAAUCAUCAGUGCAACAUUUUCUAUCAUAGACCAGAGACGUCAAUCACUUGGCCGUUUACAUGGAGUUAAGGUUGUCCACACCUCUAAAAAGAUACACACGGUCAGAUCAAUAUCAUUGAGAUCAACUGGAUGCUCAUGAUUCGUUGCAUUGUUGUAAUGAUUGGCUUCAGAGACACAAAACACAUGGAGAAUUGUACUCGGAGAAAUUGUGCUUGGUUGGAUGGUGGAUUGUAUUUGGUAGCUAGGUACCUAGUUUUUUGGAUUUGAAAUCGGAGAAGUGGAUAUAUGUGUAUAUAUAUAUAUGUGUUUGUUUUUUUGAUCUAUUGGUUUUAUAGACAUGACUUAUUGGUUGUAUGGACAUGACCUAUUUGCAUUUAU